UCCCUUUCCUGGUACUAGUAAUUUACCUUUCCCCUCCCCUGAUGCCUGAUCCCAUCCCUCGCCCGGCCGCCCAGUUCACACUCCUUCACCUCGAGCGCGACUCGCCUCAGCGCUCAGCUCAGAUCGCCCCACUAAUCCUCGGCGAAGGAGUCUUGGAAUACCAACAAUGGCAGCAACUUACCCUAUGCCUGAUCCACCGGUGCUGAACAACUAUGCUAUUACUCAAAGACUCGACAACUCUGCUACCGAGACAGCCGGCAGAGACAAGUCCAUAGGCUACCUGGACAUCUUCGUCCACCAGGCGCGCGACAUCCACAAUGUUUGCAUCUACCAGAAGCAGGACGUGUAUGCAAAACUGAGCCUCACAAGCGACCCACAGGUGUCGUGCUCGACCAAGGUGAUCAAUGGGGGUGGCCAGAACCCGGUGUUCGACGAGGGUCUACGGCUAGACGUGCGCAGCGUGGAGGCGUCGCUGAGGUGCGAGGUGUGGAUGCUGAGCAGGGUGAAGAACUACCUGGAGGACCAGCUUCUCGGCUUCACCCUCGUUCCUCUGUCAGACAUCCUUCUGGCCGAUGGAAAUCUGGCCCAGGAGUUCUCCAUGUCGUCCUCCGACCUGCUCCACUCGCCGGCAGGGUUUGUGCACCUGUCCCUGUCUUACGUCGGUAGCUCUCCGGAUGUCAUCGAGAUCUCAUCGCUCAAUAAGUCGGCGUCGGCGGUCACCGACUGUGGAAAUGGCAGCUUGGAUCCUUGUGAGAUCGAAAAGAUGGAGUUCCCAGACUUGAACAUGGUGAACGAGAAUGAAAUGAUGGUCUCCAAGUAUUUCGAGAUGGACUGUGGGAGUGCAGUGAAGGCUGAGACUGCAAGUUACCACAGCUUGAUGCAGAUGAGCCUGGUCCUGAGGUCUCCAAGAUCACUCCCAAGGAGUAUCCUGACGAAAGCCCUGUGAGCUGUGUCUCUACCACAGGCUCCUCCCCGGAGCUCUCCCCCAUGACGCAAUCGGUCUCUGAGCCGUCCGAGACCGCCGUCGCGGCGGCAUCCUCCACCGGAAGCCAGAGGGAGAAGAGCCAGGGUGUUACUACGGAUGGCGAGGUCGAUUCUUCUGAGGCGCCAUCCAAGGAUGAGGUUGCCCAGCCUGCAGUGAUCAGCGUGAACCUCCAGCCCAGGGAAUCAGUUGUCCAGCAGGACAUAGUUGACAUGUACAUGAAGAGCAUGCAGCAGUUCACUGACUCCCUUGCGAAGAUGAAGCUCCCGCUGGAUGUCGAGAACAGUAGUCCCUCGGCUGAUAACGUCGACUCGAGUACAACAGAGAAGCCAUCGCCAUCGCCGUCGUCGAAGGGUCCUAGGGUCUUCUAUGGAAGCAGGGCCUUCUUCUAAGUUGCUGCUGCUGCUAGCUAGGCUGGCUCAUACACACUCUGUUUGCCUCACUAAGGAGGCUAGACUCUCACUGUAAACUUGUAUUGCUAAUAGUGUUAUGCCUAGUUAAAAAAGAUGGAUAUUUCAUAAUAAUUCCAGAGCUGUAGAUUCAGCCUGUGUAACAUAGUGUACUACUGCAUUUAAAUUACUUCAUGAUCUGCU
rnacentral:rRNA from 1 species